rnacentral:rRNA from 1 species
AUGGAGCUAGGCGCCCCUGCAGUACGUGGAUCGAGCCAUCUUCUCCGUGCACGAGCGUCGUCAUCCGCCGUUGAUUCGCUCGACCCCGACCUUACCCGGCCUCGCCGUCGGCUUGCCCAGCUCCGCGACCCCGAGACCGCGGUUGAACCAGUGUUUGACUACUUCACCUUCGAGGGUUUGUGUCUGUCUGCAGAGCAACCAGACGAUGGAGCCCAGGAGUCAGACGCCACCGUCGAUGAUGACUACUGCUACUCGGGAGGUGCCUACUACUACGUGCAGCCCGCUGAUGACGACAUGGAGUAG